UGACCGUUGUGGAUGAGAGUCCAGGCGUUAGUCUUUCAAAUAUUGUGAUUUGAAAGAAAGAAAUUGAAUAGUGUAGCAAUUGAAUCAAACAGGGAGAGAAUCAGAUUCCAUGUAAGCAAAGCUAACCAAUUAAAAAGCUGAGAAAGAAGGCAACUUAUCAAAUCUCAGCGAAACCGAAUCCACGCACAGUUUCCUUCUCUCAAUCUCUGUCUGUGUCUCAAGAAACCAAACUAUACGGAGAAUAAGAGAAGGAUAUAAACUGGAAAUGGCAAACAGUUGUAGUGGUGAAGUACAAGAGAGGGAUAUGGUGGUGGUUCAAGAAGAAGAAGCACACCCAUAUGCGUUUCAUGUCUCCGGACCUCGAAAUGUGGCUUCUCCUAAUUGGAGAGACCUUAUCAGUUCUAGUUGGAAGAAAGAGAACUACAAGCGAACUGUAUUUUCCUGCUUCAUUCAAGCAGUUUACUUGCUUGAAAUUGACAGACAAGAGAACAGAACAGAAGAAAAUGCGCUAGCUCCAAAUUGGUGGCGAGGCUUCAAAUACAAAUUGACCCAAACCUUAAUCGAUGAAAGAGAUGGAUCUAUAUUUGGUGCGGUCCUAGAAUGGGAUCGAGCUGCAGCAUUAGCUGACAUGGUCCUUAUGAGACCCAGCGGAGCACCAAAGGCUGUUUUAGCACUCCGAGGAACAUUACUCAAAGGCCCUACAAUCCGGAGGGAUAUUGAGGAUGACCUCCGUUUUCUGGCAUGGGAAAGUUUGAAAGGUUCUGUCAGAUUCAAAGUAGCGUUGGAGGCAUUAAAAUCAGUUGCUGAAAUGCAUGGAAGCAGCAAUGUAUGUGUUGCUGGUCAUUCCUUGGGGGCUGGUUUUGCUCUCCAGGUGGGAAAAGCAUUAGCUAAAGAAGGUGUGUAUGUGGAGGCCCAUUUAUUUAACCCACCUUCUGUUUCUAUGGCAAUGAGCUUAAGAAACAUAGGAGAGAAGGCUGGGUUUGCUUGGAAGAGAUUUAAGUCAAUGCUUCCUUCAAACGGUGAAACACAGGCAACCGGUGAUGACGGAGAGAAGACCUCUACUUUAGGAUUGAGGAGUUGGAUACCUCCUUUUGGUUAUAAAACUCCUUCUAUGGGAUUAAAAAAUUGGGCGCCUAAUUUUUACGUGAACAAUAGUGACUACAUCUGCUGCUCCUACACUGAUCCGGAUGGAACUGAAGAUAAAAAAGAAGCUGACAAGGAGAAUGCAGGUCCUGCAAAUGGGCAAGUUGCUGCGAAGCUGUUUGUUAUGUCCAAGGGAAAACAGAAGUUUCUUGAGGCUCAUGGAUUAGAGCAAUGGUGGUCUGAUGAUGUGCAACUUCAACAGGCUCUACAUAACAGCAAGCUCAUGAGCAGGCAGCUGAAAUCGUUGUAUACUUUCCCAGCUACACAACCAACACAGCGAAUCCCACAAUGACAUAAGGUUAUAUGCUCUCAUUAUUUGCCAAAUACCUCGUUUUCGUUCCUGUUUCUUUCACACUACCAUUCUCUGUUUGUAAUCUGUAUCUGAUAGAUACCAAACAGAAAAGGAAAAAGAAAAGAGCAAAGCAAAAUUGUAUUCAUAGAUUGUCUUGCUGGCAAAUUUGUGUUCAUCUAAUCCAAGCAUGGAAAGAAUAAGACAGAAGAUUCCAUUUUCUUCCCCCAUACCGAAGUUUGAAGGUGGCAAAAAAAGUUCAUUCACCUCACAAUAAUGAAAACUUCUCUGUCAACUUUCAUCUUCUCUUACUUGUAUUUUCUAAAAGAUUCAUAAUCACGAUCUUACUUUAGCGAGGUUCUCAGAUGUUAGCACUAACAAUUGCACUUUUUUUCUUCUUUUUGCGGAAAUUUAAUUGUCCUGUAAUAGAGGUCAUCAUGUCUUACAUUUUCAAACAAUUAAGUGUUAAAAGAAUCUGAAUAA